rnacentral:lncRNA from 1 species
AGGCUGUGAAGGAGAAAGAGGGAGAAGAAGCAGAGGGAGGAGGAAGAAAGAAAGAAGAGAGAGAAAGGGAGAGAAUAAUAAGAUUUUGAUCCAUAUUUUUAAAAUCCAAUUCGAAUCUGCAAAAUUGAAAAAGAAGGCUUGAUUUUGUAAAAAUACAUAACCAACAAAUUUUAUAAUACAAUUGAUAGUCCCUAGUGUAAGUGGCAAAGGGCUUAAUGGUUGGUACUCAAGUUCUAUAUUUAAAACCUAGUUGUUUUAUAUUUUCAACUAAGUUCAUUUAAAAAAAUAAACGAAGUAAAUAGCAUGCUACCUUUCUCUCUCUUUUAAAACAAAAUAAUGCAAAAGGCCAAUUUCAAAUGAUCAACUUUUUGUGCAUUG